rnacentral:rRNA from 1 species
CCUACGGGAGGCAGCAGUGAGGAAUAUUGGUCAAUGGACGAGAGUCUGAACCAGCCAAGUAGCGUGAAGGAUGACUGCCCUAUGGGUUGUAAACUUCUUUUAUAUGGGAAUAAAACGUUCCACGUGUGGGAUUUUGUAUGUACCAUAUGAAUAAGGAUUGGCUAACUCCGUGCCAGCAGCCGCGGUAAUACGGAGGAUCCGAGCGUUAUCCGGAUUUAUUGGGUUUAAAGGGAGCGUAGGUGGAUUGUUAAGUCAGUUGUGAAAGUUUGCGGCUCAACCGUAAAAUUGCAGUUGAAACUGGCAGUCUUGAGUACAGUAGAGGUGGGCGGAAUUCGUGGUGUAGCGGUGAAAUGCUUAGAUAUCACGAAGAACUCCGAUUGCGAAGGCAGUUCACUGGACUGCAACUGACACUGAGGCUCGAAAGUGUGGGUAUCAAACAGGAUUAGAUACCCGAGUAGUC